GGGGGUAUAGCUCAGUGGUAGAGCAUUCGAUUGCAGUUCGAGAGGUCACCGGUUCAAAGCCGGGUGUCCUCU